CGAGUGGCGGACGGGUGAGUAAUGUCUGGGAAACUGCCCGAUGGAGGGGGAUAACUACUGAAAACGGUAGCUAAUACCGCAUAACGUCGCAAGACCAAAGAGGGGACCUUCGGGCCUCUUGCCAUCGGAUGUGCCCAGAUGGGAUUAGCUAGUAGGUGGGGUAAUGGCUCACCUAGGCGACGAUCCCUAGCUGGUCUGAGAGGUUGACCAGCCACACUGGAACUGAGACACGGUCCAG
rnacentral:rRNA from 1 species